rnacentral:rRNA from 1 species
UACGUAGGGGGCAAGCGUUGUCCGGAAUCAUUGGGCGUAAAGCGCGCGUAGGCGGCCCGGUAAGUCCGUUGUGAAAGUCGAAGGCUCAACCUUCGAAAGCCGAUGGAUACUGCCGGGCUAGAGUACGGAAGAGGCGGGUGGAAUUCCUGGUGUAGCGGUGGAAUGCGCAGAUAUCAGGAGGAACACCAAUAGCGAAGGCAGCUCGCUGGGACGUUACUGACGCUGAGGCGCGAAAGCGUGGGGAGCGAACAGG